UCUCUUCUCAUCUGCCUCGUCAGUGCCUCGCACAACCGCCGCCGCCGUCCCUCCUGUCGCUCGUGCCGCCGCCGCUGCCGACCCUCGCGCAGCCGCCACCGCCUGCUCUCCUCUGCUGCCCCACCGCCCCAGCAUCGCCUCGACCGUCGAGCAGGUCGUCCCCACAGCAGCGCCUCCUCUCUGGAUCAACUGCUGACGGCCAUCAACGCCGGCUGCCCAGUCCAUAGGCAGCCUUCCUGCAGGGUCCCGCACGGUAGAUUGCGGCAAUUACUGUGGCUGCACGGGUGAGCCCGUAGCCGUCAUGCACUUUGGCGGUGGUGAAGAUGAGGCAGGCGCACACCGCGACACAAGCAGCGAUGCGGACGCAGACCCGCAAGAUUGGAUGCAUAUAUAUUGUAUCAUUGAUGAUCGCCACAUGAAUAUGAUUUCACCACAAAGAAUUGAGAUAGCAAAAGGCGGAACUACCGUGGAGCAAUGAAGAAACCAAUAUUACUUUGCAAGCAGAUGGAGCUUUUGGAGUAAUUAUAUUUCUUUGUUGUGUAGGACAUGAUGGCAGGAAACUGUUAGCUACGUACAGUUUGUUAUAGACCGCGAUUGCUUAGUUUAAUUAAUUUCUCCCAUGUCUGUUUUAGCAUCAAAUUACAAAUUGAGUAAUAACAGAAGGGCUAUGAAGAUCUGUAAUAGUGAUAAUAUCAGGUCAAAUGCUUAUUUUAGGUAGUAAAGGUCUGAAGCCACUAAAUUUGAGAUUCAAUGCCCUUUCAUUAUUAUUGUUACGAUUUAUCCGUGAUUGUGAAUGAAUAGAAUUUUGCAUGAUUUAUAUAAGAUUAAAGGUUGAUGCAUCUCUUAUGUGUGCAGAUAUAUUGUAUGACUCAAGGUCGCCUACGAUGACUGUAAAAGUGUCCCCGACUGAUUGAUUUUGGGAACCAUGUGCUGAAUCUUUUGGUGAUGUCUGAUUGCAUCAUUCA